rnacentral:rRNA from 1 species
AGAUAAGCUCUUUAUUGGGUUUGUUGAAAGUUUUUUCCCCCCUUCUCAUUAUUAACACAUACCCCCUUAUAAAAUAUUGAACGUGAUCGUGCCGAAAGGCCAUAAUCAAAUAUACAACUUUUAACAACGGAUCUCUUGGCUCUCGCAUCGAUGAAGAACGCAGCGAAAUGCGAUAAGUAAUGUGAAUUGCAGAAUUCAGUGAAUCAUCGAAUCUUUGAACGCACCUUGCGCUCCUUGGUAUUCCGAGGAGCACGCCUGUUCGAGUGUCGUGAAAUUCUCAAGCUGGAUAGCUUUAUUGUUAUCUCAGUUUGGUUUUGGGCUUUGCCGUCUCCUCUUUUGUGAACGGCUGGCCUUAAAAGUAUUAGCUGACCCUUGUUUGUGGGAUUGGUUCUACUCAGCGUGAUAAUUUUAUGACCGCUGAGGACAUCUUUCGGGAUGGCCAGCUCUGCCUUGGAUCGCUUCUAAUCCUGGUAUUCGGAGUCCGCUCCUUAUCCUUAACUUUUUCAACUUUGACCUCGAAUCAGGUGGGACUACCCGCUGAACUUAAGCAUAUCAAUAAGCGGAGGAAAAGAAACUAACAAGGAUUCCCCUAGUAACGGCGAGUGAAGCGGGAUGAGCUCAAAUUUAAAAUCUGGCAGUCUUUGAUUGUCCGAGUUGUAAUCUAGAGAAGCGUCUUCCGUGC